CUCGCUCGGCUCCAAAUACGUGCGAUCCCGACUCCCUCACGAGGCAAGGCCGGCUGAGGCGGAGGCCCACAUAGUCGGCCCUUUUGUCUCGCAGUCGCCCCGUUCCAAGCCUCCGCGUCUUUCGUCCGCCGCCGCCGCCGCCGCUGACGGAGGACACGGUGUGCCCAAUCCAAGGUGAUCCCGUCUCCGGCGCCGGCCUCUUACUCCCCCACAUGAACCUCCAUCUUGCCCAGUUCAGAACAGUCGUGAAAGAGAAGUUUUCAAAUUGGCAAGGAUUCCCCCUGGUCCAACUAGUUAAGAUGGUAGAAAAGGGAACAAAGGGCAAACAGGAGGUCACCUACUCAUGCAGCAGUCAUGCUUCGCCAUCAUUCUACAGGACAAAGACCCCGAAGUACACCGCUGGAACAAGACAACCGACGCCAUGGAAACAUCAUCAAUAAUUCCUAAUGAGUAGACUUAAAGUAGGAUUUUGAGAUAUUACAAAUCUGGAGUAGACUUCGUGACAAAUCGUGUACUAGUAUAUAACUGAUUGCUCUCUCUGACAAUUUCCAACUAUAAUGUACAGUUGUACACUGUAUCUUUUUUCAUUUAAGAUAUAUAUGAAUGAGGUGCUCGGCCUCGAAGAUUUAAAUCA